GGCCUGAUAGUGAAGUCUGGUAUCAUGAUGCGUUCGGGAUGCAUUGAACGGGGGUUCGAAUCCCUCUCAGGCCA
rnacentral:tRNA from 1 species